ensembl:ncRNA CD4.10 ncRNA
UCUUUUGAGCUAAGCAGCUCGACCAUGGUCUUCAACGGAGAUCAAGACAAGGAGUUCCAUUCUGGGAUUUGAUCGUGUGGAAAAUGCCAUUCAGCAAGCUCUUGCUAGUCAGAAUGGGCCAGAACAUGGACUCGCGCUCGACAACUUCGACUUCGAGCGCAAGAACAUCGACGAGAUCUGCAGCAAACAUCCGAAUGGCCCGGAAAUCGACACAGAUUUUGUGAGCCGAGGAAGUGACCACGACGUAUCCGCCGACUUCGAGGAUUCGGAUAGGGAGCCGCAGUUGGAAUCCGAUGUCGGAAGUUUCGACAAAGAAAUGAUGUAAAUAAUAUAAAUGUACAUUAUUAACGUGUAAAACACUCCCCCUUCCCGUUCGUCUUAAGCUUAUAA